CCAAUCCUGUCCGAUAAGGUCUAGUCAACCACCGGAAGCGAGUCUUGCGUAGUGGUCAGAAAUGACUGCACGAAGCGUAGACAGCGACUGCCAAGGGUAUGCCAUCAGAGCCUCGAAACGACACUCCACACUGAAGUCUUGGCUUUUUGCGGCGCCAGGACCACAUCAAACCAGCGUUACGACGAGUUGGCAAGAUUCAGUCGGGGUCCAAGAACA
rfam:Niastella koreensis GR20-10, complete genome.